CAGCUAUAUCAUGUUGAUACACCAGUUCUCAUAUGAUCACCAAAGUUAAGCAAUGCCAAACCUGAUCAGUACCUAGCUGGGUGACCACAUGGGGAUAGCCUGUGUUGUAAG